UGACUUCACACCUAUCUAGUAUUUGGUUCCACUUUUCACAAACAGGUUUAUCACUGUUCACAAAAUAUUUGGACUUUAUUGCUGUGCUUUCUUGCAACUUAUGUAUUUCUCUUCUAGCAAAGCAAACCCACGUUUCUCCUCCCUCACGAUGGCGAUGAUCAACACGUAUUUGGUUGUCACUCCUCUCAUUUACUGUUGACAGCCAUUUACCUAUUUCCAAUUUGGGUUCUCUCUCAAAUCUACAAAAUUUUUCCCCAAAAUCACCUACAAAAUUGGAAUCCUCAAAAGACCCACAAAGGGUGUCAAUGUUUGAACAGAUGGGUUGCCAUCAUCAACCAGACAACUACCACGCUCGCUCUUUUUCUUCACCUCCCAACACCAAACGAUGCUAUAACUGUUGGAGACUUGGUAUAACUGUUGUUCAUGGGCCUAAAUCCAAAAUCAGAGACAAGGUAAUUUCUUUCAAAAGCAGUAAUCUUUUUACAAGGAAAAAAAAAAUAAAGGAAUUCAAUUGCCCUAAUCUAUCCUUGAUUCUUUACGCUUUCCUUUUCUUUAGAUUGAGAUAAAUAGAUAUGGAGAGACCUAUUAAAUGCUUUCUAAGCUUUGUUAAUUGAUGAAUAUCCUAAAAAGAUUCUAAUAUUAGACUUUGAAUCAAAUUUCCACAUUUUCUCUUUUGUGUUCAAAAUAAAGUAUUUGCAAUCAAAAGCUCUACUAACAAGGUAGCAAGUCGGGUUAACGGCUUUAACCCAAAAGUAUUUUGGCAUGCUAUUUCAUUAAGCAUGGUUCUAGCCAUUUCCUGCAAUACGAGAUUAUUCUUUUCUACUGCAUCAUUUUGUUGAGGAAUUCUAUAAGUGGAGAAAAUAUGUUUAUAUCCAUUCCCAUUACAAAAAUUAUCAAAAAUGAUAUUAUCAAAUUUUCUACUAUGAUCACUUCUAAUAGUUGUAAUAGAGUAUCAUUUUUCAUUUUGAACCUUUCUACAAAAAUGGUUCAAUACAUUCAAAGUUUCAUCUUUCAAAUUUAAGAAUAGGACCAAAAUAAGUCUAGAAAAAUCGUCAACAAUGACUAGCG
rnacentral:lncRNA from 1 species